GCGCAAGCGAAUUAAGGGCGCAUGGGGGAUACCUAGGCUCUCAGAGGCGAUGAAGGACGUGAUAAGCUGCGAAAAGCUACGGGGACAGGCACAUACUGAUUGAUCCGUAGAUAUCCGAAUGGGGCAACCCAGUACCAUGAAGUGGUAUUACCCUACGGGGGGCAAACG
rnacentral:rRNA from 1 species